rnacentral:rRNA from 1 species
AUGCACGCUGGCGGCGUGCCUAAUACAUGCCAGUAGAACGCUGAAGGCAGGAGCUUGCUCUUUCCGGAUGAGUUGCGAACGGGUGAGUAACGCGUAGGUAACCUGCCUGGUAGCGGGGGAUAACUAUUGGAAACGAUAGCUAAUACCGCAUAACAGUAGAUGUUGCAUGAUAUCUACUUAAAAGGUGCAAUUGCACCACUACCAGAUGGACCUGCGUUGUAUUAGCUAGUUGGUGAGGUAACGGCCCACCAAGGCGACGAUACAUAGCCGACCUGAGAGGGUGAUCGGCCACACUGGGACUGAGACACGGCCCAGACUCCUACGGGAGGCAGCAGUAGGGAAUCUUCGGCAAUGGACGGAAGUCUGACCGAGCAACGCCGCGUGAGUGAAGAAGGGUUUCGGAUCGUAAAGCUCUGUUGUAAGAGAAGAACGAGUGUGAGAGUGGAAAGUUCACACUGUGACGGUAUCUUACCAGAAAGGGACGGCUAACUACGUG